UACGGAGGGUGCAAACGUUGUUCGGAAUUACUGGGCGUAAAGGGCGCGUAGGCGGUUCGUUAAGUCCUGUGUGAAAUCCCCCGGCUCAACUGGGGAACUGCACAGGAAACUAGCGGGCUUGAGUUCGGGAGAGGGAAGCGGAAUUCCGGGUGUAGCGGUGAAAUGCGUAGAUAUCCGGAGGAACACCGGUGGCGAAGGCGGCUUCCUGGACCGACACUGACGCUGAGGCGCGAAAGCUAGGGGAGCAAACGGG
rnacentral:rRNA from 1 species